GACGAACGCUGGCGGCGUGCUUAACACAUGCAAGUCGAACGGAAAGGCCCUGCUUGCAGGGUACUCGAGUGGCGAACGGGUGAGUAACACGUGGGUGAUCUGCCCUGCACUUCGGGAUAAGCCUGGGCAACUGGGUCUAAUACCGGAUAGGAGCCAUUUUUAGUGUGAUGGUUGGAAAGUUUUUUCGGGUUAGGAUGAGCUCGCGGCCUAUCAGCUUGUUGGUGGGGUAAUGUGCUACCAAGGCGGCGACGGGUAGCCGGCCUGAGAGGGUGGACUGCCACACUGGGACUGAGAGACGGCCCAGACUCCUACGGGAGGCAGAAGUGGGGAAGAUUGCACAAUGGGCGCAAGCCUGAUGCAGCGACGCCGCGUGGGGGAUGACGGCCUUCGGGUUGUAAACUCCUUUCGCUAGGGACGAAGCUUGUUGUGACGGUACCUAGAUAAGAAGCCCCGGCUAACUACGUG
rnacentral:rRNA from 1 species